CUUGCUUCCCUGAUGUUAGCGGCCGGACGGGUGGAGGUAACACGUGGAUAACCUACCUAUAAGACUGGGAUAACUUCGGGAAACCGGAGCUAAUACCGGAUAAUAUUUUGAACCGCAUGGUUCAAAAGUAAAAGACGGUCUUGCUGUCACUUAUAGAUGGAUCCGCGCUGCAUUAGCUAGUUGGUAAGGUAACGGCUUACCAAGGCAACGAUGCAUAGCCGACCUGAGAGGGUGAUCGGCCACACUGGAACUGAGACACGGUCCAGACUCCUACGGGAGGCAGCAGUAGGGAAUCUUCCGCAAUGGGCGAAAGCCUGACGGAGCAACGCCGCGUGAGUGAUGAAGGUCUUCGGAUCGUAAAACUCUGUUAUUAGGGAAGAACAUAUGUGUAAGUAACUGUGCACAUCUUGACGGUACCUAAUCAGAAAGCCACGGCUAACUACGUGCCAGCAGCCGCGGUAAUACGUAGGUGGCAAGCGUUAUCCGGAAUUAUUGGGCGUAAAGCGCGCGUAGGCGGUUUUUUAAGUCUGAUGUGAAAGCCCACGGCUCAACCGUGGAGGGUCAUUGGAAACUGGAAAACUUGAGUGCAGAAGAGGAAAGUGGAAUUCCAUGUGUAGCGGUGAAAUGCGCAGAGAUAUGGAGGAACACCAGUGGCGAAGGCGACUUUCUGGUCUGUAACUGGCGCUGAUGUGCGAAAGCGUGGGGAUCAAACAGGAUUAGAUACCCUGGUAGUCCACGCCGUAAACGAUGAGUGCUAAGUGUUAGGGGGUUUCCGCCCCUUAGUGCUGCAGCUAACGCAUUAAGCACUCCGCCU
rnacentral:rRNA from 1 species